rnacentral:lncRNA from 1 species
UCCAAUAACAACCUAAUACAUAUCUAUAGCUAAAUUGAUAUAUAGUUUACUGAACUUAAUAUUCACUUAUACACAGUAUAUGACCAGUUGAUACACAUCUAGUAAAAUAUUCAUCCAAUAUUUCAAUAUACACUUCUAGAUAAAGUGAUAUAUAGUUUUUAAAAUAUAGCACUCAUCAGUAUACAAUACAUGAUCAAAUGAUAUACAUUAGACGGCUUACAGAUACAUACUGUAAGUUUUUUUGAUGCAUACCUCACAACGAUCUAAUACACACCUACAGAUAAAUUGAUUUAUGAUUUACUAAGCUUAGUAUUCAUCAGUACACUGUUUAUAGUCAAUUGAUAUAUACCUAGCAAAAUAUUCAUCCAAUGUCUCGAUACACAUGCACCUUUAGAUAAAAUGAUACGCAGUUUUCAUGAACUUUUAGAUGCAGAUAUUUUAGGAAAGAAGAGAGAUUUGGAAGAGAAAAAAGGAGACUCGAGGAAGACCCCAUAGAUAAGAAAGAUGGCAUGCAGGGUUUGGAAAAAGAAGAAGAAAGUCAGGAAGAAAAUCUUAUAGAUGGGAGAAAUAACUUGAUGAAGAAGAUAAUGGAUAGAGAGGCUUAUGAGGAAG